rnacentral:misc_RNA from 1 species
UAUUGAAUUAAAAUUUGGUUGGGUUGCUGCUGGUUCUCUGGAGCAUGUGCACGCUCAUUCCAUUUUUAACCACCUGUGCACCCAUUGUAGACCUGAAUGAAAUUUAUUUCGAGGAAACUCGGUUUGAGAACUGCUACCAAGCUGUUCUUGCAUUCAGGCUCUAUGUAUAUAACAUAUCCUCUGUAAUAAGUAAUUGAAUGUUAAUUUAUAGGCCUAUUGUGCCUUUAAACCUAAUACAACUUUCAACAACGGAUCUCUUGGCUCUCGCAUCGAUGAAGAACGCAGCGAAAUGCGAUAAGUAAUGUGAAUUGCAGAAUUCAGUGAAUCAUCAAAUCUUUGAACGCACCUUGCGCUCCUUGGUAUUCCGAGGAGCAUGCCUGUUUGAGUGUCAUUAAAUUCUCAAGGAGUUUGUUCUCUUUGGAUUUUGGAGUGUUUGCUGGCUUGAAUCUUGUUCAGCUCCUCUCAAAUGCAUUAGCUUGUGCUUCUGUGGAAUCAGGCUUUGGUUUGAUAGUAUCUAUGUCAUUGCCUUUGAAACAAAUGAGCUAGCUUCUAAUCAUUUUAUUUUUGACAUUUUG